rnacentral:rRNA from 1 species
CACGAAGUUAGCCGGUGCUUAUUCUGUCGGUAACGUCAAAACAGCAAGGUAUUAACUUACUGCCCUUCCUCCCAACUUAAAGUGCUUUACAAUCCGAAGACCUUCUUCACACACGCGGCAUGGCUGGAUCAGGCUUUCGCCCAUUGUCCAAUAUUCCCCACUGCUGCCUCCCGUAGGAGUCUGGACCGUGUCUCAGUUCCAGUGUGACUGAUCAUCCUCUCAGACCAGUUACGGAUCGCAGCCUUGGUGAGCCAUUACCUCACCAACUAGCUAAUCCGACCUAGGCUCAUCUGAUAGCGCAAGGCCCGAAGGUCCCCUGCUUUCUCCCGUAGGACGCAUGCGGUAUUAGCGUCCCUUUCGAGACGUUGUCCCCCACUACCAGGCAGAUUCCUAGGCAUUACUCACCCGUCCGCCGCUGAAUCAGGAAGCAAGCUCCCUUCACUCCGCUCGACUUGCAUGUGUUAGGCCUGCCGCCAGCCGUUCAAU